UACGGGAGGCAGCAGUGGGGAAUCUUGCGCAAUGGGCGAAAGCCUGACGCAGCCAUGCCGCGUGAAUGAUGAAGGUCUUAGGAUUGUAAAAUUCUUUCACCGGGGACGAUAAUGACGGUACCCGGAGAAGAAGCCCCGGCUAACUUCGUGCCAGCAGCCGCGGUAAUACGAAGGGGGCUAGCGUUGCUCGGAAUUACUGGGCGUAAAGGGAGCGUAGGCGGACAUUUAAGUCAGGGGUGAAAUCCCGGGGCUCAACCUCGGAAUUGCCUUUGAUACUGGGUGUCUUGAGUGUGAGAGAGGUAUGUGGAACUCCGAGUGUAGAGGUGAAAUUCGUAGAUAUUCGGAAGAACACCAGUGGCGAAGGCGACAUACUGGCUCAUUACUGACGCUGAGGCUCGAAAGCGUGGGGAGCAAACAGGGAUUAGAUACCCUGGUAGUCCACGCCGUAAACGAUGAUUGCUAGUUGUCGGGAUGCAUGCAUUUCGGUGACGCAGCUAACGCAUAAGCAUCCGC
rnacentral:rRNA from 1 species